rfam:Staphylococcus sp. HGB0015 genomic scaffold aczIz-supercont1.2, whole genome shotgun sequence.
UACUUAUUAAGAGAAGUUGAGGGAUUUGGCCCUGUGACGCUUCAGCAACCACUUAUUGAUAAGUACGGUGCUACAACCAACCAUUGCGGAUGAUAAGUU